rnacentral:lncRNA from 1 species
AUUUAUCAUUAGCUGUGAAAGUGCAGACUUCACCUUCAGUUAAGUUGACAGAGGAUUACAGACCAUCAACACCGCACACAGGAUAACAACGCUCUUGACCUUCGUGGGAGGGAAGAGAAGGCCUGCGGAGGUAUCCAGCAAACCCUCCCUACCCUCGCUGAAGAAAGAGACUCUGCUAUUCCACGUUCUCACACUACCCAGAAGGUCAGACUAUCUCAGCAUCUAUCCAGCUUACCAGAUUCUGCCCGUUUCCUACCUUAGUCUAUAAAGCUGAAUGACAAAUUGGAAGACCUGAUGCCUUUAGCCCCCUCUUAAUUCCCAAGUCUGAUGUUAUUGUAACAGCACAAAAAUCCUUAGAUGUUAUCACACUUGAUUACUAUCUAUAGGAACCCUUCAAGCACAGCUGUUUCUCAUUAGAUGCCAGUGGCUGAAAGCAUUU